GUUGAAAAAGUGUUUUAUGGUGGUAAUCAUCCCCCGCUGGGUAAACAGUUCACCCUAAAUGUCCAGAUGUUGGACACUCCUUUGUGGGUCAUCUCAACUUGUUUUUUUUUUUCCACGUCAGUUUUGUUUCCGUCCUUCAAAGUCUACAGACGUAUGUGAUAUAUCCUCUAUCUCACUCCAACAGGUUAUGGGCCCAGCACGCUUCCACUGCGCUUAGAUAUCUCCAACGAACUCAGCACGAUCACGAAUCGAUCACCACUCUAUUAUCAGUAAAGCCUUUUUUUUUUCAAAUACGAAAUCAAACAUGUCGGAAGCAUCGAAGAUCGAAAAGCUGACCAACGAGAACUACAGCACUUGGAAAAUGCUGAUUGAAGCCGUCUGUGUCGCCAAUAAUACAUGGGACUAUUUAACAACUAAAAUCGAACGACCUAUCGCCGAUAUAAAUGAUCCCAAAACUGUCCAAGCAGCAUCGGAAUGGGACAAGUCAAAUGCCAAGGCGAAGAGCGAUUUAUUACCAUC
rnacentral:lncRNA from 1 species